rnacentral:rRNA from 1 species
UGGGGAAUUUUGCACAAUGGGGGAAACCCUGAUGCAGCGACGCCGCGUGAUUUAGAAGGCCUUCGGGUUGUAAAAAUCUUUUCUAUGGGAAGAAAAUGACAGUACCAUAGGAAUAAGGACCGGCUAAUUACGUGCCAGCAGCCGCGGUAAUACGUAAGGUCCGAGCGUUGUCCGGAAUCAUUGGGCGUAAAGGGUACGUAGGCGGGUAAGCAAGUUAGAAGUGAAAUCCUAUAGCUCAACUAUAGUAAGCUUUUAAAACUGCACAUCUUGAGGUAUGGAAGGGAAAGUGGAAUUCAUAGUGUAGCGGUGAGAUGCGCAGAUAUUAGGAGGGAUACCGGUGGCGAAGGCGACUUUCUGGCCAUAACCUGACGCUGAGGUACGAAAGCGUGGGUAGCAAACAGG